rnacentral:rRNA from 2 species
GAUGAACGCUGGCGGCGUGCCUAAUACAUGCAAGUCGAGCGAACAGACGAGGAGCUUGCUCCUCUGACGUUAGCGGCGGACGGGUGAGUAACACGUGGAUAACCUACCUAUAAGACUGGGAUAACUUCGGGAAACCGGAGCUAAUACCGGAUAACAUGUUGAACCGCAUGGUUCAACAGUGAAAGACGGUCUUGCUGUCACUUAUAGAUGGAUCCGCGCCGCAUUAGCUAGUUGGUAAGGUAACGGCUUACCAAGGCAACGAUGCGUAGCCGACCUGAGAGGGUGAUCGGCCACACUGGAACUGAGACACGGUCCAG